UACGUAGGGUGCGAGCGUUAAUCGGAAUUACUGGGCGUAAAGCGUGCGCAGGCGGUUUUUUAAGUCUGGUGUGAAAGCCCCGGGCUCAACCUGGGAAUGGCGAUGGAUACUGGCUCGCUAGAGUGCGGUAGAGGAGAGUGGAAUUCCCGGUGUAGCAGUGAAAUGCGUAGAGAUCGGGAGGAACAUCAGUUGCGAAGGCGGCUCUCUGGACCAGCACUGACACUGAGGCACGAAAGCGUGGGGAGCAAACAGG
rnacentral:rRNA from 1 species